rnacentral:rRNA from 1 species
GUGAACGCUGGCGGUAGGCCUAACACAUGCAAGUCGAACGGCAGCACAGUAAGAGCUUGCUCUUACGGGUGGCGAGUGGCGGACGGGUGAGGAAUACAUCGGAAUCUACUUUUUCGUGGGGGAUAACGUAGGGAAACUUACGCUAAUACCGCAUACGACCUACGGGUGAAAGCAGGGGAUCUUCGGACCUUGCGCGAUUGAAUGAGCCGAUGUCGGAUUAGCUAGUUGGCGGGGUAAAGGCCCACCAAGGCGACGAUCCGUAGCCGGUCUGAGAGGAUGAUCAGCCACACUGGAACUGAGACACGGUCCAGACUCCUACGGGGGGCAGCAGUGGGGAAUAUUGGACAAUGGGCGCAAGCCUGAUCCAGCCAUACCGCGUGGGUGAAGAAGGCCUUCGGGUUGUAAAGCCCUUUUGUUGGGAAAGAAAAGCAGCAGGUUAAUACCCCGCUGUUCUGACGGUACCCAAAGAAUAAGCACCGGCUAACUUCGUG